UCUUGUCCAUAUUGUCAACAGUUUCAUACACGAGUACCUGAAUUGUUGAGAAAACAUAUUACUCAGGUUCAUCCACACAAGUGUCAGAUAUGUCGUACCGAUUUUAAAAACAAGAAAGAAGCUAAAAAUCAUCGUAGAAUACACGUCAAACAAUUUCAUCAUUGUACUGUAUGUCAGCGGGAUUUUGCCACUAAAUUUGUUUUUGCAAGACACGAGCGUAGUUUACAACAUUUAACGUUGGUUCGAGUACAACGACAGAUUUUAGAAGUUAUUUUGAAGACAUAUAUCAACACAACAGGCAGUACAGCUUCUUUACCCGAUUUAUCACAAUUUGCAGAUCUGAUAACAUUUCCAAACAUGAACAUUUCAAACACUGAUUCCCAUGAUACCAGAGAUCCUGUACAACAAGCUGAAGAUAUCAGACGAUUUUACCAUGACAACCCAGAAAUUCAAAAUCUCUUGACAAAAGUUGAAAAAAGUCUGAAAGAUCAAACUAACAAGAAAACAUCAGAAAUAAUUUUACCAGAAGUAUCAGGGUCUG